rnacentral:rRNA from 1 species
AAAAACUCCGGUGGUAUGAGAUGGGCCCGCGUCUGAUUAGCUAGUUGGCGGGGUAACGGCCCACCAAGGCAACGAUCAGUAGCCGACCUGAGAGGGCGACCGGCCACAUUGGGACUGAGACACGGCCCAAACUCCUACGGGAGGCAGCAGUGGGGAAUAUUGCACAAUGGGGGAAACCCUGAUGCAGCGACGCCGCGUGAGCGAUGAAGUAUUUCGGUAUGUAAAGCUCUAUCAGCAGGGAAGAAGAUGACGGUACCUGACUAAGAAGCCCCGGCUAACUACGUGCCAGCAGCCGCGGUAAUACGUAGGGGGCAAGCGUUAUCCGGAUUUACUGGGUGUAAAGGGAGCGUAGACGGCGGUGCAAGCCAGAUGUGAAAGCCCGGGGCUCAACCCCGGGACUGCAUUUGGAACUGUAUGGCUGGAGUGUCGGAGAGGCAGGCGGAAUUCCUAGUGUAGCGGUGAAAUGCGUAGAUAUUAGGAGGAACACCAGUGGCGAAGGCGGCCUGCUGGACGAUGACUGACGUUGAGGCUCGAAAGCGUGGGGAGCAAACAGGAUUAGAUACCCUGGUAGUCCACGCCGUAAACGAUGACUACCAGGUGUCGGGCAGCAAAGCUGUUCG